AUUGAACGCUGGCGGCAGGCCUAACACAUGCGAGUCGAGCGGAUGAAGGGAGAUUGCUCCUGGAUUCAGCGGCGGACGGGUGAGUAAUGCCUAGGAAUCUGCCUGGUAGUGGGGGAUAACGUCCGGAAACGGGCGCUAAUACCGCAUACGUCCUGAGGGAGAAAGUGGGGGAUCUUCGGACCUCACGCUAUCAGAUGAGCCUAGGUCGGAUUAGCUAGUUGGUGGGGUAAAGGCCUACCAAGGCGACGAUCCGUAACUGGUCUGAGAGGAUGAUCAGUCACACUGGAACUGAGACACGGUCCAGACUCCUACGGGAGGCAGCAGUGGGGAAUUUUGGACAAUGGGCGAAAGCCUGAUCCAGCCAUGCCGCGUGUGUGAAGAAGGUCUUCGGAUUGUAAAGCACUUUAAUUUGGGAGGAAGGGCAGUAAGUUAAUACUUUGCUGUUUUGACGUUACUAACAGAAUAAGCACCGGCUAACUUCGUG
rnacentral:rRNA from 1 species